GUGUCAGCCGCCGCGGUAACACGUAGGGUGCAAGCGUUGUCCGGAAUCAUUGGGCGUAAAGAGCUCGUAGGCGGCUUAGUAAGUCGGGUGUGAAAACUCUAGGCUCAACCUAGAGACGCCACCCGAUACUGCUAUAGCUAGAAUCCAGUAGGGGAGUGUGGAAUUCCCAGUGUAGCGGUGAAAUGCGCAGAUAUUGGGAGGAACACCAGCGGCGAAGGCGGCACUCUGGGCUGGUAUUGACGCUGAGGAGCGAAAGCGUGGGUAGCGAACAGGAUUAGAUACCCCGGUAGUCC
rnacentral:rRNA from 1 species